UUCAAAGCACAGUCAGAUAUAUGUUGAAGCAGGAAAAAAGUAGUACAAAACCGUUAUCUCUGCUGUGUAAAGAAAGGAGCCUGUAUGUAGACAUUUCGAAGCUUAUUGUACAUAAGUUGGAAGCAUGACACAUAUGAUACCAAAGCACAUGUAUGGUACUGAAAACAAUGGAAGAACAUAUACAGGGUCACUAGAAUACUUAAUAUACAUAUCCCUGAAACAUUGCAUAUGUUACAAGAAUCACAACAUUCACACUAAGGCAAGGAGCCGGUCACUUUGAGACCACAGAGACGAAGCCGCUGGAUCAUAGUCACCAUGCUGCGCCCCGAGUGCCGCCAUUGACCACGUCGGCAAGGGAGCAUUCCGGUGAGAGCACUCUGGGGAGAUCAGAGAUGUAACAUGUCAUUGUGAUCAAAGGAGUGGUUGUUAGCACAACAGAAAGGAACCAUAGGUGGUCGUCAGCAGGUAGCAUGUCGCGGGAGAUGGAGCCUGGUGGCCAAGCAAGGUCGCCAAGACCUCGUGCCUUGCUUCAUUACCCUGGAUAAACUGAAAACAUAUGAAGUCAAGUACAUUAGGCGGUACAGAAAAAAUAUGGAAGUAUUCUAUGGAAGCAAACGAUGUAGACCAAAGAAACAAAUUCAGUAUAGAUGGGUGCAUGCCAUAUUACAAUGGUGAAAUCAAAGACAAUAAAUUUGUCUUUGUUUGUAAGAAGCCUGAAGUGUGGAGGCAAUAUAUUGGAACUGAAGAAAUAUAUGAGGUAUAAUUUAGACGCCCCAUGAGUAGGAAGCAUGGAAAUGUGCAGUGUUAAUAUGAUUUUUCUUCAUUGGAAGCACUGAAGUUGAAAUGGAAAUAAACUAAGAUUCCACCACCAUGGAGAUGGAUGUUCCUGCAACCUACAUGUCAAAUUCACAAAAUAAAAUGUAGAAUUGUAGAAGCAAACUAUCUAGACAGUGGAAUCAUGUAUAGUACAUGUAAGCUCCAUAGAUAGGAAGCAUGAUAAGAUCAAUAUCACAUCCUAACUCAUUUUAAGUGGAAGCAUAUGGAUUUGAAAACAGAAAUUAAGUAAGCCGCCACAUAGCUAUGCAAGUUCGUGUGAUCGAAUAACAAAAUAUACCUAAACUGGUUGAUACUUUACUGAUUAAAUGCAGAAUGGAAAGAACAAAUCUGCACCCAAUACCCUCAAUUCGAAGAAGAGGCGUCAAAAAGGGGAAAAGGACCUUUGGCGCUGCUAGUUCUUGGGCUGACAAACACUCUUCGGGCAGCCUGGUGAAUCACAAACACCGCGGCGGUCCUGGCGAGCACGGACACCAGUCAACAGAAUGGCGCAUCGGCGAGGUGGACCGGCGGCCGCAUCAACAAUCGGUGGCAUUGGAGUGGGUCGAGUCUGGGCAGCAAGGUAGACGGUGAGCACACCCGUUAGGUGGACUCGAAGCACGGGAUGCGGGGAAACGGAUCUAAGCAGCCCUGGUGGUGCGAACAGGUUCGACACCCGGCUCGGUGGAGGGAGAGCUUUGCGGCGAGAUUGAGCUGGGACGGCGAGGUCGGGGACAAGCCCAUGAGAGGCGAGGCGGGCUGUGGUGGAUGGGUCAUCUCGCCCCGGUCAAGGUGAGUUAGU
rnacentral:lncRNA from 1 species